CACCUUAAAAUAGCGUCAAAGCUUAUUCGUACUCUCAUUAAAAAUUUCCUCCCUAUUAAUUAACCCUUCAACAAUACUGAGUAAUUCUAUACUACUAUAGAAAUUUUUAUGUUAAAACUAGUAACAAGAAGAAGACCUUCUCUUAAAUGCAUCCGUAGAUCAGAAAGGACCCACCACUGAUAAUUAACGCCUAUGACCCUAAAGUAAAAACUUACCUAGAAAAACUUACUAAACGCGCCGUAAACCUAACACAAGAGCAUUUCAAGAAAGAUUAAAAGAAAAAGAAGGAACUCGGCAAAUAUUAACCCCGCCUGUUUACCAAAAACAUCGCCUCUUGAAAAACAUAAGAGGUCCAGCCUGCCCAGUGACACUGUUCAACGGCCGCGGUAUCCUAACCGUGCGAAGGUAGCGUAAUCACUUGUCCUUUAAAUGGGGACUAGUAUGAACGGCACCACGAGGGUUAUACUGUCUCCUUUUUCUAAUCAGUGAACCUAAUCUCCCCGUGAAGAAGCGGGGUUACAACUAUAAGACGAGAAGACCCUAUGGAGCUUUAAACAAAACAACAUUUGCUAAGUCACACACGAAUCUCAGGAGAUUAACUCUUAUUUUAGCCCUAUGAUUGUUAGUUUUAGGUUGGGGUGACCGCGGAGUAAAAAACAACCUCCACAAUGAAUAAGGCCCUCCCUUAAGCAAAAAGCCACAACUUUAUGCAUCAACAAAUUGACAUUAAUUGACCCAAUAUUUUGAUCAACGAAACAAGUUACCCUAGGGAUAACAGCGCAAUCCACUUCAAGAGCCCGUAUCGACAAGUGGGUUUACGACCUCGAUGUUGGAUCAGGGUACCCCAGUGGUGCAGCCGCUACUAAAGGUUCGUUUGUUCAACGAUUUAAACCCUAC
rnacentral:rRNA from 1 species